UAAUCCCUCCAAAUUAUCUUUCACCCUAAAAUCCCUCCAAUACGCUAAAAUCCUUAAGAGUUGGCCGCAAAACUUCAUCAAAAUACACAAGGUUGCAAAGAACUGAGAAGGUAGGUUAGUGUCUAAAAUUCAUCACUCUCUAAGAGACUUUACACAAAUUUUACCAUUGGAUUAUCCACCUAAAAAGGGGUAAGUUUAAUUUCUGUCUCUUUAAUCUAUUCAGUUUCUUUUUUCUUCUUCAUGCUUUUUUUUCCCGAUUAAAUCAGAAAUCAAAAAAAGGGUUCUGCAAUUUUUUGUUUCUUUAGUUGUUUUCUGCAAUUGGCUAUUUUGAAUACUGAUUUUUCUUCUGUGAGUGAUAAAAGUAAGAUUAUUAGGUUUAAAAUUGGGUGAUCUUUGUUGUGUGAGGAGAAAUUUGUACAAAAGAAGGGUUGUAUGGUUGCUCGUAAAAUCAUCGGACAUCAGAGAAUGUCAAAUACCCUAGAACUAAAAUUUCAUAAAAAAUGGGUAUUGGUUGCUCGUAUUAGGACUACAAUAUGAUAUAUAAUUUGAUUCAUCAUAUCCCAACAUUUAGUCAUGGAAUAUAUUCUACUUUUUUUGUAUUUCAAGCAAAUGGGGCUCAAAUGUGAGUAAUGAUAAGGCAAAGAGAAACCAGCCACGCAAAGGCUGCAAACACCGGGUAUACCGGCUUGCCAUGCCAAGAUACAGGUCAGUUAAUCGCUCAAUGCCCGAAUUGGUUAUCCCAGAUAUAGAAACACCAUCCUCACUACCUCUUCAUGUACUUUUCAUCAACAUGGAAAAAAUAAAAUACACAUUUACACAAGUGUCUAUCUUAUUGAGUGUAAGUACCCCUAUUCAAUGACUCUUUCCCGACUUAUGUAGCACUUAUGAAUAACUUCAUAUCUGAAAGCUAAUUUUCAUUAAGUUUCAGUUGAAUUAAUAUCAUUAAAGUUGGGCAUUAGAAACCUUUAACUUCUUUAAGUGUCUAUCUUGUGCAAACUAAAGUUUGUUAAACACUAGAUAAUUUAGCCUAUCAAACCCAUAUAGAUUACUAUGACACUAGAUUGUGCAUGACCAUUAGGAUAUUUUUUUAAUUUGCAUCAUAUUCUAAUCAACAAGUUCUUAGUUAAUGAUAUAAUACAUACUGGAGAGUAAUUCAUGUGCUUUAGCUCUCACACAUUGUUACGUGCGAUUUUGAGUCAUAAAACUUGUAUAUUUGUUAUAGGCUUAUAGCUACCACCUAAAUUAAUUAGUACAUCAAAAACUUUACUCGGGAGAUGUUAUCUUCUACUCAUUUAAUGUGCAAUCAUAUAUUUCUUUUUCUGGCUUAUAUUUGUGAAUGGAUAUUUAUAGACUUACUUGGAGACUUACUGCUUCCAACUUGUGUCCGUAUGUUAUGAGUGAUUCUGGAUAUGUGUAAUAGCUCUAAUUGGCAAAAAGGAUGACUGGCAGAAGAGAAGGAGCAUUGAGGUUGAUGGUAUGCUGCACUUAUGUUGUUUCUUAUGCAAGAGCUUCUCAGAUGUCUAUAGCAUUGAAGUCGCCUGUGUAAUUUCAGCCUACCAUAUGGUUGGUACAAAUUUGCAUUGAAUCAAGAUGAAAAUAAAUAUGGGGUACCCCAAGAAUAUUGACAGGUAUUCAGAUGUCUAUAGUAUUGCAUGUUCUGCUGGCGUAGCUACUGCUGGUGCAACAAUUGAUGAUGUAGCUACUGCUAGUGCUUGUUCUAUGUUUUAAAUUCAUAAAAUUGAAAUAAAGAUAAGGUAUAUACUAAACUUUGGUCAAAUUAAUUCAAGCCUCAUUUUAGAACUAUGUCGAUCCUAAAACAAUUGAGAAACAUGUGUGUUUGGUUAAUUGAACAUGUUCUUUACUUUUAGUUAUUAUGGGAUAUGAUAAAAAUUUCUCUAUAUGCUUUGUAGGCUCAAAUCCAGGAAUUGGUGCAGUCUGAACCAUCACUUCCUAGAAUAGAGAUUGUAGAAAAAUAUUUUGGACCUCAAAGUGAUAGUCAUGUAUUUGGUUUUGGGGGUGGAUUAAAGGCGAAAGAUUUGACUGGUGGAACUGCCUCAAAAACCAAAUUAUUGGCUAAGCUACGUUCAACUGAAAAUAAAAACCAGUCUUUAAAGGAUCGUUUGUCUAACUUUGAAAAUGAAAUGAGAGAACUUAAGCAAAUAAAAGAAUUAGUAUUAGUGUAACAAACUAAUUUCCUACCUCCAGUUCAGGAGAAUGAUUAUUCGGAUCCUUGAUGAUACCAAGUGAGUAACAACUUACCUGAAACCUCAAUUUAUUUUGUUGAUUUAAGUGUAUUAAGUGUAUGUUAUUAUAUAUCAUUUGCAGAAUUUCUUCUUCUAUUAAUUCUGAAUUUGGUGGUCGAUAACCCAUACUGGUUGUUCAAAGUGACAAUUGGGAUGAAAAAACUUCUCUUAAGCUUUGUGAUAUGCUGAAAGAGCUUAGACCAGCUGACUCAGUGACUGCUUUGACAGUGCCCCCAAAACUCCAUGGAGAGAGAUGAGCUUAAAUCAGCUCACUUGGUGGAUUACGUGUUAACAAAGCCUCUUCGGCCAAGUGUGUUAAUUUCAUGCUUUCAAGAAACCCUUGGCUUCGGAAACAAGAGGCAUAUAAAAAGGGGGAAACUUCCAACUCGUGGAAGUCUGUUAAAGGGCAUACAUAUCCUGGGGAUAGAUGAUAAUGUUGUAAACAGAAGAGUGGCAGAAGGUGCUCUCAAAAAGUAUAGAGCUAUAUCAACCUGUGUGGAUAGUAGGAAGGCUGCUUUGGCACUUUUCAUGCCACCACAUAAGUAUGAUACUUGCUUUAUGGAUCUCCAAAUGCCAUAAAUGGAAGGCAAUAACAGCAGAUAUUAUUCAAGCAACAGAUGCAGAGUGCAUGAAGUGUGGGAUGGAUUAUUAUGUGGCAAAAUCAUUUGAAGAAGGGCAACUUUAUUCAGCAAUCGCCCACUUCUUUGUGUGUGGUUGAUUAGGAGGUGUUUCAAGUAACUAUAUAAUACAGUGGAUGGAGGACCUUGGCUGCUCAAAUGACUGAUAGUUGGUUCGUAAUGUUGCUGCUGGAUAAUGUAGCAGAUUCAGAGCAAAUACAUCUAUAAUGACUUAUGUGAUUCAGGCGCAUCUGGUCCCGCUACCGAGUGUUGAUCCUUUCUAGCUCAGGCGGAUCCGAAGAUUCUCUAGAUAGCUGCCGGCGUUCGCAGCCCAGAGUUUCUUCCCUUAUCUUAUUUCUCUUUAUUUUAGAUUUGUAUUGAACUCUGUAGACUUUCUUGUCUUAUUCCAGAUUUUUAGAUGCUCAUGACUAGUGACACCCCGAUAUCGGGUUGUGUUGGGUUUAUCUUCUGCAACUGUACUGUUAACUGUUCUCUUUUGGAUUAAUUAUCAUGUUUUAGACUUAAUUUUUAA